rnacentral:rRNA from 1 species
UACGAAGGGUGCUAGCGUUGCUCGGAAUCACUGGGCGUAAAGGGUGCGUAGGCGGGUUUUUAAGUCAGAGGUGAAAUCCUGGAGCUCAACUCCAGAACUGCCUUUGAUACUGAGAAGCUUGAGUAUGGGAGAGGUGAGUGGAACUGCGAGUGUAGAGGUGAAAUUCGUAGAUAUUCGCAAGAACACCAGUGGCGAAGGCGGCUCACUGGCCCAUAACUGACGCUGAGGCACGAAAGCGUGGGGAGCAAACAGG